rnacentral:rRNA from 1 species
AACGAAGAGGGUUAGGGGCGUGUACUAGGGUAUAACUAAUAUAAAAUAAGGGCUACUUUUUAAUUGAGAGUGAAAUCUAAUUUUUAUAUAACCUUAAUCAAGAAAUUAUGAAAGCUAUAGAACAACUAGGAUUAGAUACCCUACUACUAUGCUGUUAAUAACGCCCUGAGUAGUACCAGCGCCAGCUUUAAACUCAAAGAAUUUGGCGGCACCCUCCCCCGCUAGAGGAGCCUGCCCCAUAAACGAUGGCCCACGCUACGAUAGUCCUAGGUUAAUAGUUUGUAUACCGCCGUUUAGGGUGUAUUAGGAAGUACAUUCGAGAUAAAAUUAAUUAGUAUAUCAGGUCAAGGUGCAGCCUAUGCCUAGGAGGUGGUGAGCUACAUUGAAAAUAUUUACACGGAAUUUAAUUAUAAUAGUUAAAUAAAGGUGGAUUUAUAAGUAAAACAUUAGGUUAUCAUGUUUGAAGGGGUUCUAGGGUGUGCACACAUCGCCCGUCGCUCUCUUUUUAACAAGAG